rnacentral:rRNA from 1 species
GCUUGCACAGGUGCUGCAUGGCUGUCGCCAGCUCGUGUCGUGAGAUGUCGGUUAAGUCCGCUAACGAGCGCAACCCUCGCUGUGUGUUACAAGUGUCACACGGUACUGCCGGUCUUAAGCCGGAGGAAGGUGGGGAUGACGUCAAGUCAGCAUGGCCUUUAUGUCCUGGGCUACACACACGCUACAAUGGCCAACACAAUAGGUUGCUAAGCCGCGAGGUGGAGCCAAUCCUCAAAGUUGGUCUCAGUUCAGAUUGCAGGCUGCAACCCGCCUGCAUGAAGAUGGAGUUGCUAGUAACCGCAGGUCAGCUAUACUGCGGUGAAUACGUUCCCGGGGCUU